GUAUCAUAAUGGUGUCUACUUUCAAUUAAUUUGGCUGAGAGUCUACAUAGUUUACAUAUGUAACAAAGCGCAACAACAAUUCUAAAGAGAUUCAUUAGGUUGAUGAUAUUAUCAACGCUAGCAACAAUUCUCUAACUGUUAAUGAUCUGAAGAUUCAGCUACAGUCUCAUUUCAAGCUUCAUGCCUUAAGUUCUUUCAAAUACUUUUUUUUGUCUCAAAAUUGUUAGAACUUCUUAAAGAAUCUCUGUUUCUCAGCGCCUUUUUGUUUUUGUGAUUGAUAUAUACACAAGAAUAAUUCUUGUCGAUCGGCUUACUAGAAUCCUCUGUGCUCAAAUUAUCUCACCUUGCUUUCUCUCCAAGCUUUAAAGGGACGAGUUUCGUGUGAGGUUUUAUGAAGAGUUUCCUGACACGACAGGCGUGGGAGAUUGUGCGUUAGCUGCUGGAAAUGCGUGGAGGUCGAUGACUGAUUCUGAGAAUGCUCCUUAUUUCGCCAUGGCAGACAGAGGAGCCAUGUAUAGACCUCCUUGGGCAGGACCAUGCAACUGCAAUGGAGCUAUUAGUUUCGUUUUUGGCUAAAGAUGAAUCAGCAAUUAGCCAUUAGUUAUUGUAUGUAUGCCUUGAGAAUUAGCUCUGGAAACCCUUUAAGCUUUAACCUUCCUUUCUACUAUUUUGUGAUGAUAACUAUGUGUUUCUGCACGCUUUAAACUUCCGCCACCCGGGUUCGAUUCGCGCUGGGAGAGACUAUUUACAUCGCUUGUAUUCCCGGCAAAGAGGUGAAAAUACCUUUUUUUACACCAAAAAAAAUAUUGGUGCUAUGUUA